GUCGAGACUGUGUCUCUGAGUGUGUCGAAAAGCGAACUGUAUUCGAUGUGAAUUAACUAAAGGGUCUUUGCAAUUGACGUUCGGAUUUUCAUAUACCUAAAGUUGAACGAAUCGACGUGCAAAAAUAAUAUGUGCGGCUAAACUCAAUGCUAAAACUGCCAUGAAAUGAGCAAUCAUUUUCGCUUAUUUUGCAGGCGCUCACACAAUAAAAUCUCUCACAAACAACAACAACAAAAAUAGUCAUAAUAUUAUUCAUAUUUACGACAAAGCCGUGUCUAAG